GAGAGGGAAAGAGAGAGGGAAAGAGAGAGGGAAAGAGAGAGGGAAAGAGAGAGGGAAUGAGAGAGGGAAAGAGAGAGGGUGAUAGAGAGGGAAAGAGAGAGGUAAAGAGAGAGGGUAAGAGAGAGGGAAAGUUAGAGGGAAAGAGAGAGGUAAAGAGAGAGAGAAAGGGAGAGGUAAAGAGAGAGGUAAAGAGAGAGGGAAAGAGAGAGGGUAAGAGAGAGGGCAAGAGAGAGGGAAAUAGAGAGGGAUAGAGAGAGGUAAAGAGAGAGUGAUAGAGAGAGGGAAAGAGAGAGGGAAAGAGACAGGGAUAGAGAGAGGGAAAGUGAGAGGUAAAUAGCGGGAAAGAGAGAGGGAGAGAGAGAGGGAAAGAGAGAGGGAUAGAGAGAGGGAUAGAGAGUGGGAAAGAGAGAGGUAAAGAGAGAGGGUAAGAGAGAGGGAAAGUUAGAGGGAAAGAGAGAGGGAAAGAGAGAGGUAAAGAGAGAGAGAAAGGGAGAGGUAAAGAGAGAGGUAAAGAGAGAGGGAAAGAGAGAGGGUAAGAGAGAGGGCAAGAGAGAGGGAAAUAGAGAGGGAUAGAGAGAGGUAAAGAGAGAGUGAUAGAGAGAGGGAAAGAGAGAGGGAAAGAGACAGGGAUAGAGAGAGGGAAAGUGAGAGGUAAAUAGCGGGAAAGAGAGAGGGAGAGAGAGAGGGAAAGAGAGAGGGAUAGAGAGAGGGAUAGAGAGUGGGAAAGAGAGAGGUAAAGAGAGAGGGUAAGAGAGAGGGUAAGAGAGAGGGAAAGAGAGAGGGUAAGAGAGUGGGAAAGAGAGAGGUAAAGAGAGAUGGAAAGAGAGAGGGAAAGAGAGAGGGAAAGAGAGAGGUAAAGAGAGAGGGAAAGAGAGAGGGAA